rnacentral:misc_RNA from 1 species
UGGACCGGGACUGUCGGACCAAGACCAAGUUCCGACGCAAGUUCCUCGAUCAUGAUAGGCCUGUUUCCAUCUUUCUCAAAGAACUCAUAGCCACGACGUGCAUGUUGCUCCCAACUUUCCAUUCCCUCAAGCUGAUGUACACUUAUCGAAGCAGCACAGAAUUCUUCAAAAUCCAAUUUUCUGUAUUGAAGAGAACUCACCGUAUUAACAAAGUCGAAAACCCUUGAAUCCUUCAUCGCAUCGGUGGAGUUCUUCAUCACAGCCAUUUUGAAGUUUGGUAGAGCUACUAGUCCACUUUUGCUUGGCCCUAAUAGUGUAAACUGAUCACGAAGAUAAGCUAGUUGUGGUAUAGUCAAUGUCUUAGCAAGAGCCCUUAAAGCAGUUUUUCUAAGAGAAGAAGAAUAUACAUAAGCUUUUACAAGCUUAUAUACUAUCAUAUCCAAAGGAAUCUUCAUAUCAUGAUGACCAGCCAACCAAGGAUGACUGAGAGCCUGAGCUGCAGUUAGCCUUUUGCGAUAAUCCUUAUUCAGCAAUCUUUUUACAAAGUCCACUGCAUCAGAAGACAAAGAGGGCCAAGGGGCUUCAUCAAAG